GCAUAUCAAUAAGCGGAGGAAAAGAAACCAACAGGGAUUGCCCUAGUAACGGCGAGUGAAGCGGCAACAGCUCAAAUUUGAAAGCUAGCCUUCGGGUUCGCAUUGUAAUUUGUAGAGGAUGAUUUGGGGAAGCCGCCUGUCUAAGUUCCUUGGAACAGGACGUCAUAGAGGGUGAGAAUCCCGUAUGUGACAGGAAAUGGCACCCUAUGUAAAUCUCCUUCGACGAGUCGAGUUGUUUGGGAAU
rnacentral:rRNA from 1 species